CACACGGAAGUUCCCAGGCUAGGGGUUGGAUCCGAGCUGUAACUGCAGCUGCUGGCCUAUAUCACAGCCACAGCAAUGCCAGAUCCAAGCCAUCUUCUGAACCUCCAUCACAGCUCACAGUAAUGCUGAAUCCUUAACCCACUGAGCAAGGUCAAGGAUCAAACCCAUGUCCUCAGGGAUACUAAAUGUCAGAGUUACAGGAUACUUUGGAAAUUAUUGGGCCAAUUUUUUCCCAUUUUACACUUAUAGAGGCUGAGAAGGAAUGUAUCCAUAGUCAUACAGUUAAGAAAGAAAGAAUCAAGGUAGAAAUCUCGUUCUCCCAAUUCCCAGCCAAAUUAUUUCUAGUUAAAAAUGUUACAGAAUCUUCCAUAUAUUUCAAAACUAUCUUGCAAAAAGCAUAUGAACUUUAAUCUUAACUCAUAGCUAUCAAGAUACAUGCAUACACAUAAUUUCCUGAGUUUUUUAACCAGAGCUUUCCAACCAAGAUGAAUCCACAGUCCAAGGGGCUUACCGUGUAGCCAACCUAGUGAUUUCUUCUGCCUUCAGUGUGGCCUCAACACCCAGACUGGCCAUUUUAGAAGCUCCAUCUGCUACAUCUUAUAAAUAUUAUCAUUUGCUAUUAUUAAAAUUAUAAUUAAUGAGGGAAUUUACUGCAAGGACUCAACUUAAAAAACUUUAAAAAUGUACAAAAGCAUUGUCUUUCUUCUUGUCAUAGCUAAUGAAAACUAUGAUUCUUUUUAUUAUUUGAAUUUGUAGCAUUUUAUUUAAUUGCUAUUAACUACUUGAGAAAAAUGACAAAAAGUCACCAGUUUUAAGCAAUUUGAUUAUGUGGUAAAUCAUGUAGUUUUCUACAUGCUUCUUAUUAUCAUUUGCUAUUUUUGUCAUGACCCAGGAAAGGUGGGGAAACACUGCUUUAGACUAAGUCUUAGCUCUGCUUUUUUCAUCCUGACACCAACCUUUGUAUCCGUGACUGCUAAAUUAAACUGCAUGUGUUCUGCUUCAUCACUGAUCUAAGAUUUGUAAGGAUACCAGGUAAUUAUUUAUGUUGCUGGGGCACAGAUAUAGAUUCUAGGGUUCCUUCAGUGAGUAUCUUUUUAAUAAAUUAAAAGUUGAAUGAAGGAAGGGAGUUCUCUCUGAGGUAACCUCCAAGAACAAUACUAUAGAUUAAUGCAAUGAUUUUCACAGCAGCAAGGGUUCUCUCUUCAAUAUUAAAACCCCACUGUAUGUUCUUCAUAGUUACACACCACUCAGUGUGGCAGGCAGAGUUCUAAGAGCCCUGUGAUCACCUCCUGGUAUUCCCUUUGUAUAAUCCCCCUCCUUGAGUGUGGGGAGAUCUCUAACUUGCUUCUGACCAAUAGAACAGGGCCAAGGUGAGGAACAUUGCUACCUAGUUAUGCUAUGUUAUAUGGCAAAAGUGAAAGGGUGUUGCAGAUGUAAUUAAGGCCCUUACUAGGUUGACUUUUUUUUUUUUUUGCUUUUUAGGGCCACACUCAUAGCAUGUGGA
rnacentral:lncRNA from 1 species